GCUUCCCCGGGAAGCUGACAGGAAGAGGCGGAGCCCACGCCGCCCCGCGCCACCAGGGAGGGAGCGGCGGCCGCUGGCGGUGGAGGCGAAAGCGGUGGCCGCUUCAUCCCGGCCACGGCUCGAUCUCGCUCGGGAGUGCGCGGAGCUUCGGACACUCGGCCGGGUGGGACAACGCCAUGGUCCCCGCCGACGCCCCGUCCGCCCUGGCGCUGAGGGCUGUGGGCCCCGCGGCCGCCACCCCGUAUGGUGUCUUCUGCAAGGGGCUCUCCCGCACCCUGCUCGCCUUCUUCGAGCUGGCCUGGCAGCUGCGCAUGAACUUCCCGUACUUCUACAUCGCGGGCUCCGUGAUCCUCAACAUCCGCUUGCAGGUACACAUUUAGAGCCGCGGCUGCGUUGCCCGCCUCCCGGGACCGCAAGAUGGCCGCUUCCCAGGCCGCCCCGCGGCUUGUUCAAGAUGCGCGAGAAGAACUUGCAAUCUCGCGAGAGCAGGCUCGCUCCCGGGCAGCCGGCUCCCAGCCUCCCCUUCCUGGGGAUUGGAGGUGGGAAGGCUAGCUGGGUGGAUUAAGAGCAAAGAUGUUGUUCCAGCAGCAGAGGAGAUAUCCAAGGACGUAUCCGAGGAACUACAUCAGUAAACGCCAGCCAAGUCUUAGGAUAUGACAAAGGGAUGCAUUAUGAGAAAGGAAGGCUAAGUGUUUCAAGAACACAGAUUUACAGCAAACUUACAUUCGGAAUUAAUCUUUGAGAAUACUGGACUGUGAGUUAGACAUUGAAUAAAAAGCCUGUUAUAUCAAGAAUGUGAUCUAAAAAGCGUGCAUUUCUUCCUCCCACAGAGGGUAUAUUGAAACUGGGUCAAAGUCAGACUACAGGAAAGCGUAUGCUUUCCUGACAGCAAUAAUGACAGCAGGAUUUUGAAAAAAACUAGUGGGAGUAUGUGAAGAUGUUCCAGUCAAAGAGACAUUGGUUUCAAAGGAAAGAAAGACCAGUUGCCUCGCAGGAAUUGACUAUUCCCUGAUAGUAAUGCAAAUGGACCAGCUAUGGCUCUCUUCUUUAAAGAGAAUACUUUAGUUACAGAGUAAAAUGCAGAUGUUACAAACCUUUUUUGGAAGAAUACACUUGACAAGUGGAAGGACAAGAAAGUAAAUAGAAUGGUGAUGCCCUUGUCUAGUGGGAGAUUUCGUUGAUUAUGGACAGCCAUGUUUCUAACUGCUAAAUGGAGGCAGUAACCGCAUGACCUAAACAGUAAAUGUCCAAAGAUGGAAGGUUCUCAAUGUCUGAAAAGGAGCAAAUAUCUGGUGUAUGUGAAUGUGUGCUGGAGAUGUUUCCAAGCCUGGGGUGAAUUAAUAUGUGUUUUAAUUAAUAUGUGUGGCUCUGAUGUGACCACCUGCUCAAUCCCCCGCCACUGUAUAUUUCAUGCCAUGAUGGACCGCACCUUGGACUCUAAUCUCACAUAAAGCUUGUCUCCUUUAAAUUGUUCCAUAAGAAUAUUUUAUCACCGUUCUUCCCCACAAUAAGCUUAAAAUGGAGUGAGCCUAACAUAGAAGGGCAGGCUCCACAGUGGCAGCAAGCAGAGAUUAGGGUUGCAAUGAAAGUGAUUAGUUCUUUAUUCUCAGAGAAUGGCUUCAUUAUAACAAACAUAAAAACAAACCAAUGAAUAGCUACAACAACUGUCAAAAGAGACGUUGUAUACCAGUACUCAAAAGAAUUGCCUAUUUAUGUUUCUCAAAUGCACUUAACAAAAUUUCAUUUAUUUUUUUCUUUUAAGAUCAGUCUUAAGACUCUAAAAGGAUACAGAUAGACAGUAUCUUACCUGUUGUAUAAAAUGAGAGAAUGUUGGGUUUUGCCAUGUUUGCAACUGUUAACAGGGUGUCUAGGUUCUACUAGGAGAGCCCACCUAAAAAGAAGCAUGUGAUCCACUUGAUACAAAUCUGUACAGCACUCUUAGACUUCAGUAGAGAUACAAGUUUUUAGCUGGUAUAUGUGUCCAGAAGUACUCAAGAAAGCAUAGCUGGGUGCCUUUGAAACUUGUUAUUAGAGUUUAGACAGUUUCAUCAGCAGACUUGGACUAUUUUGUCAAUCGCCUUCCUCUGGAUGGAAAGAAGAAAUCAUCAUGUACAGUUUCUCAAAGGAAGCAUUUAUUUGGCAGGUAAGAGGUUAGUAAUGAAAAAGAAGCAGAAACAAUUUUUCUCUUUCCACAACCACUUGGUCAACCAUUCUCGGUUGCAUUCACUGGCCUGGGGAUGCUUGUGUUAGGAGAGGGUCUGAUGCUGCUGAGUCCUGUGGGAAGGUAGCAGAUGGAGAGAGUGGAGAUGUGGAGCUUGAGCUUACUAGCAACUCAGGCAUACCGAUUAGAAACCAUUUAUUUCAAUGUCUUAGCCUAUGGCCCGUGCUUCCUUUGUUGGUAUUUUGCCCUUCUACUGUCAAAAACAAGGCCCGGCUCCUUAUAAAUAUCUCUCCUAAAAUUUGCUUCUUGAGGGUAAUUACUGCUACCUAAAUAUUAACUCACUUACCCCAACAACCAUUUUAGUUGAGUCAAAAGUUGCUCACAAGUUUAAUUAGCUUAACUUACUUACAAAAUUUUAGGAACACUGAAUACUACGUCUUCAUAAUAAAAACAAGGUCAACAUCUAAGGCUAAUAUGUACUCAAUUUAAUUUGUACAAUGAAAUUUCUGUGGCAAGAUAAGUAAAAUAUAAUUCCUGAAAUAACAUAUUUUGUUUUAUAAUAUUCAGAUUACUAAUCAAGAUGUAUACAUUAUCAUUAAAACCAUCCUUGGCCUCAUUCUCAUCAUCUGUAUGUAGAACCAAACAGCUCAGACAUAGGUGGAUGGAAAAUGUGAAUACUCUACCAUUACCUUACAUAUAACUCCAUGGAGCCAAACCAGCAAGUCUGAUCAUCAUUUCAUUGCAGCUUGUCAGUUUACCUUACAACUAUAUAGACUAAAUAAAUAGCAUGUCUAAUAUACUGUAUGUAAUAUCUAGUAUCUGUAUGUUAUAGUUUUGCUCUCAGUAAAAAUGUUAUAGUAAGCCUGA